rnacentral:rRNA from 1 species
UCGAGAAUCAUUCGCAAUGGACGAAAGUCUGACGGUGCGACGCCGCGUGGAGGAUGAAGGCCCUAGGGUCGUAAACUCCUGUCAUCAGGGAGUAAAUGCUUACGUAGUAACUGACGUAGGUCUUGAUAGUACC